rnacentral:rRNA from 1 species
GGCUCAGGAUGAACGCUAGCUACAGGCUUAACACAUGCAAGUCGAGGGGCAGCAUGGUCUUAGCUUGCUAAGGCCGAUGGCGACCGGCGCACGGGUGAGUAACACGUAUCCAACCUGCCGUCUACUCUUGGACAGCCUUCUGAAAGGAAGAUUAAUACAAGAUGGCAUCAUGAGUCCGCAUGUUCACAUGAUUAAAGGUAUUCCGGUAGACGAUGGGGAUGCGUUCCAUUAGAUAGUAGGCGGGGUAACGGCCCACCUAGUCUUCGAUGGAUAGGGGUUCUGAGAGGAAGGUCCCCCACAUUGGAACUGAGACACGGUCCAAACUCCUACGGGAGGCAGCAGUGAGGAAUAUUGGUCAAUGGGCGAGAGCCUGAACCAGCCAAGUAGCGUGAAGGAUGACUGCCCUAUGGGUUGUAAACUUCUUUUAUAAAGGAAUAAAGUCGGGUAUGGAUACCCGUUUGCAUGUACUUUAUGAAUAAGGAUCGGCUAACUCCGUGCCAGCAGCCGCGGUAAUACGGAGGAUCCGAGCGUUAUCCGGAUUUAUUGGGUUUAAAGGGAGCGUAGAUGGAUGUUUAAGUCAGUUGUGAAAGUUUGCGGCUCAACCGUAAAAUUGCAGUUGAUACUGGAUAUCUUGAGUGCAGUUGAGGCAGGCGGAAUUCGUGGUGUAGCGGUGAAAUGCUUAGAUAUCACGAAGAACUCCGAUUGCGAAGGCAGCCUGCUAAGCUGCAACUGACAUUGAGGCUCGAAAGUGUGGGUAUCAAACAGGAUUAGAUACCCUGGUAGUCCACACGGUAAACGAUGAAUACUCGCUGUUUGCGAUAUACAGCAAGCGGCCAAGCGAAAGCGUUAAGUAUUCCACCUGGGGAGUACGCCGGCAACGGUGAAACUCAAAGGAAUUGACGGGGGCCCGCACAAGCGGAGGAACAUGUGGUUUAAUUCGAUGAUACGCGAGGAACCUUACCCGGGCUUAAAUUGCAGAUGAAUUACGGUGAAAGCCGUAAGCCGCAAGGCAUCUGUGAAGGUGCUGCAUGGUUGUCGUCAGCUCGUGCCGUGAGGUGUCGGCUUAAGUGCCAUAACGAGCGCAACCCUUGUUGUCAGUUACUAACAGGUUCCGCUGAGGACUCUGACAAGACUGCCAUCGUAAGAUGUGAGGAAGGUGGGGAUGACGUCAAAUCAGCACGGCCCUUACGUCCGGGGCUACACACGUGUUACAAUGGGGGGUACAGAGGGCCGCUACCACGCGAGUGGAUGCCAAUCCCAAAAACCUCUCUCAGUUCGGACUGGAGUCUGCAACCCGACUCCACGAAGCUGGAUUCGCUAGUAAUCGCGCAUCAGCCACGGCGCGGUGAAUACGUUCCCGGGCCUUGUACACACCGCCCGUCAAGCCAUGGGAGCCGGGGGUACAAGAAGUGCGUAACCGCGAGGAG